AGGAUGAACGCUGGCGGCGUGCUUAACACAUGCAAGUCGAACGAUGAAGGCUGGAGCUUGCUCUGGCUGGAUUAGUGGCGAACGGGUGAGUAACACGUGAGUAACCUGCCCCAGACUCUGGGAUAAGCGCUGGAAACGGCGUCUAAUACCGGAUACGAGCUUCCACCGCAUGGUGAGGAGCUAGGAAAGAAUUUCGGUCUGGGAUGGACUCGCGGCCUAUCAGCUUGUUGGUGAGGUAAUGGCUCACCAAGGCGACGACGGGUAGCCGGCCUGGAGAGGGUGACCGGCCACGACUGGGACUGAGACACGGCCCAGACUCCUACGGGAGGCAGCGAGUGGGAAUAGUUGCACAAUGGGCGCAAGCCUGAUGCAGCAACGCCGCGUGAGGACGA
rnacentral:rRNA from 1 species